rnacentral:rRNA from 1 species
UACGGAGGGUGCAAGCGUUAUCCGGAUUCACUGGGUUUAAAGGGUGCGUAGGUGGGCAGGUAAGUCAGUGGUGAAAUCUCCGGGCUUAACCCGGAAACUGCCGUUGAUACUAUUUGUCUUGAAUAUUGUGGAGGUAAGCGGAAUAUGUCAUGUAGCGGUGAAAUGCUUAGAUAUGACAUAGAACACCAAUUGCGAAGGCAGCUUACUACACAAUGAUUGACACUGAGGCACGAAAGCGUGGGGAUCAAACAGA